CCUGUCGCUAGAGGCAGUGCAGGUGUGGCUGCUGUACCACAUGUGGGUCAGUAGGUGGCAGAGAGAGGCUAUGUCUGCUCGUCUGACCUGCCAACAUCUGAAUGAUUAGUAGGCUAACAUC
ensembl:snoRNA LOC120102070 small nucleolar RNA SNORA17